rnacentral:tRNA from 1 species
GCCGGGGUGGCGAAACUGGUCAUACGCGCCUGACUUAAAAUCAGGUGUCCCUUCAUUGGGGCGUGAGGGUUCGACUCCCUCCCCCGGCA